CCCGCCAUAGAUCUUGAAUCAUUGAGCUCGUUUACACUAAAUUAUUUUUUUAAUUAUGUAGGUGGCGGCCAGAGACACAUAGUUUUCAUCUUCCUUUUGCAUUCAUUGGUCAAGGAGAAUUGUGGGUUCACUCGUUGGGUAGAUCCUCGUUCGAUUUUUCCUCAUGCGGAAUACAUAUCCUACCUACAGAAUAGGAUAUUUGAUCUAGAGAGGGAAGUAAGCAACAGAAAUGACGAGGAAGAAAGAGACAACAACAAUGGUGGUGCUUCACAGGUUCAAGUAUGUCCAGAUCCAUAUUGUUGCUGCCCUUGUCACAACAAGAAUGUUGGUCCUCCGUCGUCUCCACCGCACCCACAACAGACAACAACAAUGGGAGGAUACUAUGGAGAAGGGUCCACACAAUUUGGAAUGUGGGAGCACUACUAGAAAAUUCUUCUGUAUCAAUUGCUCUCAGCGUGUUGAUUAUCUUUAUCAAUUGCUUGAAGUCACCUUUAACAAUUGCUUUAAAUGUAGUUUUCAUCAA